UCUACUCACUAGUGUAAGUCGCUCUGGAUAAGAGUGUCUGCAAAAUUAUGUAAA
rfam:Salmo salar isolate Sally breed double haploid chromosome ssa28, whole genome shotgun sequence.